rnacentral:rRNA from 1 species
UACGAAGGGUGCAAGCGUUGCUCGGAAUUACUGGGCGUAAAGCGCGUGUAGGUGGAUUGGUGUGUCAGAUGUGAAAUCCCUGGGCUCAACCCAGGAACUGCACCUGAAACUACCAGUCUUGAGUGGUGGAGAGGGAAGUGGAAUUCCUGGUGUAGAGGUGAAAUUCGUAGAUAUCAGGAGGAACACCAGUGGCGAAGGCGGCUUCCUGGACACCAACUGACGCUGAGACGCGAAAGCGUGGGGAGCAAACAGG